rnacentral:rRNA from 1 species
AGGAAAGACGAAAGUCGCGCGAGGAGGGGCCUGCGGNCCAUCAGGUAGCUGGUGUGGUAACGGCGCACCAGGCCAAUGACGGGUCCCUGGUCUGAGAGGACGACCAGGCAGACUGGGACUGAGACACGGCCCAGACUGCUACGGGAGGCAGCAGCAAGGAAUUUUCCGCAAUGGGCGCAAGCCUGACGGAGCAACGCCGCGUGCCGGAAGACGGCCUUCGGGUUGUAAAACGGCUUUUGUCGGGGAAGAGAUGGACGGUACCCGGCGAAUCAGCCCCGGCUAACUCCGUGCCAGCAGCCGCGGUAAGACGGAGGGGGCAAGCGUUGUCCGGACUCACUGGGCGUAAAGCGUGCGUAGGCGGUGGGGAGCGUCACCACUGAAAGCGUCCGGCUUAACCGGGCGAGGUGUGGUGAUACGUCUUCACUGGAGGCAAUCAGAGGUGCGCAGAAUUCCGGGUGUAAGUGGUGAAAUGCGUAGAGAAUCCGGAGGAAUGCCGGUGGCGUAAGCGGCGCACUGGGGUUGACCUGACGCUGAGGCACGAAAGCGUGGGGAGCGAACCGGAUUAGAUACCCGGGUAGUCCACGCAGUAAACGAUGUCGGCUCGGUGUACGGUCGUCA